AACGAGUCUUUGUUUUUAAGAUUUUAUUUAUUUGAGAGGAGAGAGAGCAUGAGCUGGAUGAGGGGCAGAGGGAGAAGAAGAGUCUCCGCUGAGCAGGGAGCCCAAGGUGGGGCUCGAUCCCACGACCCUGGGAUCAUGACCUGAGCCGAAGGCAGACUCUUCACUGACUGAGCCACCCUGGCGCCCUCCUUUCUCCCCUUCUAAGUGACCCUUGAAGUUAGCCUCUGUACAGACUCUUGGGUUUUUUUUUUUAAGAUUUUAUUUAUUCAUUUGAGACAGAGAGAUACAGAGAGAACAUGAGCAGGGGGAGAGGCAGAGGCAGAGGGAGAAGCAGACUCCCCACUGAGCAGGGAGCCCGACGUGGGGCUCGAUCCCAGGACCCGAAGGCAGCCACUUAACCAUCUGAGCCCCCCCAGGCACCCUUGUACAGACUCCUGUGAAGCACUUACCCUUCCGGCAAGCCCUGUCAGAGUCACCCGAUAAAGCUUGUGUGUCCCACUGCCACCUUGUGGUCAUAUAUUUUUCCUUGCUCAGCCCCCACAUACAGCAAACCCCUGCACACAGUGGCAAUGAGCAAGAGAGGAUUUCUGGAGAUAAUCAAGAAAUAGACAGGGGGCCACCCCGUCAGUAGGACGACCAAUUGGCAAAAACCCCGGACAGCCUCAAAUGGCUGGGAUUCAGAAUUCGGAAAGCCACCACCUCGCUUUGGCAUGGCAUUGCUCUGUGCUCCAUAACACAUUUGUCAUGGUCUCCCCAUGCCUCAUUACCUCAGCCGGGCAGUUAUACCAGUCUUCGAAUGAAUCUAAGCCACUGGAACUGACUUUUGAGGUCAGAGGCACUGCGCUGCCUGAGGAAGGAGGUCAGCUCGCCUGCCUAGGCGCCCCAUUGAACAGGCGACGAAGAAUAAAAUCCAGAGCCUCGCCACUUUCUCCUCCACCCUGACAGGGACCAGCCGUACACCACUGAUCCCGGGCCCAUCCUCUCGGCCUGCUUCUGUUCCUCGUCCUGGGAGAGGUGAGCGAAGCGCUCACGCUGUCUGGAGAGAGAGGUGUCCCCAUCUGCUGCCCACAUGCUCCACCGAAAACACCAAGGAACAAACCUGGACCUGCUCCCAACACCCGGGACGUGGAAUCAGUCACUCCGAGACCAGGAAGACCAUGUGGCUGAUUCCCAAGGGACCGUCAAAUACCUCUCUCUGGGCCACCCCCUCCCCUGCCACUGCUGCCCACGGAUGACCUCCGCUCUUCACCUCGGCUCUGUGGCUAUGCCUCCUCCUUACAUGAGAACGUCCUACCUUCGCCAGUGUCAGCUCCACACCCGCUGAUGGAUCGCCCUGCCCUGGAACUCUAUGCCCUACUGCUGACAAGGGCCGUCUGAAGCUGGUGACUCACAGGUGUCUUCUAACCCUAUGGGCCAACUUCUACUUCAAAUAUGUGGCCAGUCAUAGUCUGAGCCCAUAACCAAUUGCUUUGACCCGGGUGCUGAGUAUGAGGUGGCUAACACACAGGUUUAUUUGGCUACACUCUAACAUUCUAAGCAUCUGUUGACGCCCCCUGGAAUUGCAUUAAGCCACACAACUUGCCUUCACGGGAACACGGAAUACAGGCAACACAGGGAGACUGGUGGGCCUGGAAGGGAAUCCCUUGUAUAGGGCUUCCCCUAUUACAAGCUUCCCCUUGUCCAACACUGGACACUGGAUUAGAGUCACAAUUCCAGCUGAGUUUUCCUCAGCAGCAACCCCCCCAAUGACCUGCCCUCAGCAACCACACAAGCCACAACUCUCCAACCCUAUAAACAAGCUUUCCAGAUACUCCCCCAGUAGGGCAUCUGGGUGGCACCGUUGGUUAAGCAUCUGACUCUUGGUUUCAGCUCAGGUCGUGAUCUCAGAGUCCUGAGAUCAAGCCCCGUGACAGGCUCCACGCUCAGUGUGGAGUCAGCUUGAGAUUCUCUCUCCCUCUGCCCCGCCUGCUCAUUCUCUCUCUCCCCCCGCCUCAAAUAAAUAAAUCUUUAAAGAAAAUAUUCCCCUGAUACUAACUUCUUGAGGACCACUCACUGGAGUAGGGGGAAGCCAUAAAAACAGCAUUAGGUACAAGACACCACACAGCAAUGGAAAGAAACUCAGAGAGCUGUGUCCUAGGAGUUAUCCACACCAAUUAAAUAAAUUGCCAAGAACUGAAACUCUUGGCCAGUCUCACCAUAUUUUAGCAGACAUGGUGUUAGACAACAG
ensembl:lncRNA